CUCACAGUCUCCCUUUCUAUAGUGCAAGCUCGACUAGACAGUUUUGACAAUAGUGAUAUUAAGGCUCUGCUUGGUGCCAUGCAAUCUGCAUUUGGGGUGCCAGCUAGCCACAGGACUCAUCUGGAAAAAAACAACGGCCCAACCCUGAGAACUUUGGGAUUCACGGGAAAUUACAGUUCCCCUGAUGAUGCAGGACCGGACCAGGAUUUCACUCAUCAACUGGCCUAGAUUAAGGAGAAAGAAAUCUACAUUUCUGAACCUGGUAACGUCUGAGCAUACUCAUGGAAGAAAGAGCUGGCCUAUGAGCACCAUCUACAUUCUUACCAUGACUGUGAGACUGAUACUGCCCACAACGAUACCAGUACUGAGUGAUGAAGAACAUUUUGCUAAGUUGUUCUAUCGUGGUCCUUGCUUAAGGGGAUUGUUGGACGGAUGUUGUGGGAACUGAACUUGAAGAAGGAAGAGCCCAUCAUUUGGACACAUCUUAGGGCUUCCCAGCUGCACCAGGUUAUGGACAAGGGACCUGGAACCCCAACCCUUCCAGUCACUAACCACAUGGCCUGAGAUGUCAUUUCAUGCAGCUGGGCUCUUUGUGCUCAUCAGCAAGUGAUGUAAAUAAAGCAUGUGAGGUUAGCACACCGUAUAUUCUCAAAUCCUGGAGCUACUGGUCCUCUUGUGACUAUUAUUAUUAUUAAUAUUAUAAUGA
rnacentral:lncRNA from 10 species